rnacentral:rRNA from 1 species
CUCCUACCGAUUGAAUGGUCCGGUGAAGCGUUCGGAUCGCGGCGACGUGGGCGGUUCGCCGCUGGCGACGUCGCGAGAAGUCCACUGAACCUUAUCAUUUAGAGGAAGGAGAAGUCGUAACAAGGUU